rnacentral:misc_RNA from 1 species
UUCGAUUCAGAAAACAUUAAAUCUUGCAACGCCCCAAAUUCAUUCAGUCAAAAACAAAAUGGCUUCCAUGGCUGCGCAACUUCUCGAUGAAUUAAUGGGGCGAAAUAGAAAUGCCCUUCCAACAGAUCGAACGAAAGAAUUAUCUUACAAUGACGCUGAGGUGUGUAGGUACUAUAUGGUUAGGUUUUGCCCACAUGAUUUGUUCCAUAACACGAAAGCAGAUUUAGGUCCGUGUCCAAAUCUUCAUGACGAAGCUGUGAGACAGAAAUACCUUAACGAGGCACCUUCAUACACAAAGACAAAAUUUGAGGAUGAGUUUCUCAAGUACUGUCGAUCUAUGCUAAAUGAAGUUGAGCGCAAAAUUCAAAAGGGUGAACAACGACUAGCCCAAUCACAAUUGGCCAAACAAGAAGCUGGUGCUAAUCCCAAAUCUAAAGCAGAAGAACAGAUUGCUUUGCUAACUGACAAGAUUAGUCAUCUGGUGAAGGAAGCUGAACGUCUAGGAUUUGAAGGCAACAUUGAACAAGCUCAAGGACUGUUGAAACUUAGUGACCAAUUCAAGAGUGAACGAGAAGCUCUAAAGAAAGGGGAAGGCCUUUCAUUUGCAACAGAACUGAUGCUAGAAAAACAAAUGGAAGUCUGCAAAGUCUGUGGUGCUUUUUUAAUUGUUGGUGAUGCCCCAGCUCGACUUGAUGAUCACAUGCAAGGAAAACAACACGUUGGUUACCAGAAACUGCGUUCGGCAGUAGACGAGAUUACGGAGAGUCGCGAGAAGGCUCGCCAGGAUCGAGAAAUGCAACGUCAGAAAGAAGCUGAAGACCGACGCGGCCGGCGCCACGACGACGAUUCACGACGUCAUCAUGGAAAAGAGCGCGAAAGUGGUAGCCGCAAGCGCUCUCGUUCCCGCUCCCCCAAACAUCGCACCUCAAGUCACCACAGCGAUCGACGGGAUAGAGGCGAAAGGAGCGACCGCGGUCGAGGCGAGCACGAUCGCCACCGAGAUAAAGAUCGGGGUCAUAGCAGAGAUCACCGAGACAGAAAGCGAGACGAUAGACCGCGCGAUCGAGAUCGCUCAGCACACAACGGUUCAAAGGAAAAUGGGGCAGGGAUUCAAUAGUUAUAACAGUGUAGGAGAAGGAGCAGCAGUACGAAGUCAAAAAAGUCAUCUAAGAUGAGGUAGCUUCAUCGUAUUUCAGGUCCGGACUAAAAAAAAAAUGUUGAAGCCUUGUUGUCAGACGCUCAUUUACGGAUCCCUUUGGGCGUCUCAGUUUGUUCUCUUCGCCUCAAGUCGCUGCUGCUGUCAAGCAAGGUGACACGUUAUUUGUAUUCCUUUUUUUUUCUUGUUUUUCUUCCUCGAAAUUAUUUUCGUGCUCCCACGAUUUUGAACUUUUUCAUCAUCAUCAAAACCAUUCAUUUCUUUUGUCCCUUUACAGUUCUUUUUUUCAUUUUUAUUUUGGAAUGUUGGUAUCUUUCUUUACGUAUCCUAUGAUUGCAUUAUACCACUACACAUUCCUUAGUUUGAAUUAAAAACUUGCUGCUGUGUGACAGAUAAUGCAUUAGUGUGAAGUUGCUUGGAAAUACAUGUUAGUCUUCAACAAGAA